UACGUAGGGGGCGAGCGUUGUCCGGAAUCAUUGGGCGUAAAGCGCGUGUAGGCGGCCCGGUAAGUCCGCUGUGAAAGUCCAGGGCUCAACCCUGGGAUGCCGGUGGAUACUGUCGGGCUCGAGUCCGGAAGAGGCGAGUGGAAUUCCUGGUGUAGCGGUGGAAUGCGCAGAUAUCAGGAGGAACACCAAUAGCGAAGGCAGCUCGCUGGGACGUUACUGACACUGAGGCGCGAAAGCGUGGGGAGCGAACAGG
rnacentral:rRNA from 1 species